GCUAAACUCUGCAGCACAAUGGGCCUCCAGGGCAAGAUUUGAGGGACCCUGCUGUAUGCCUGUAUGUCGUCGAGAGUGUGACGUGAUGUACAAGGACAACAGUCUACGUAAGACAUGAAGUACAUGGACAACAGUCUACAUUGUGAAGCAUGCGAAAUGAAGAUGAUAGUAAAAAUGGGCUACGACCAUGAGGACAGUGGCAGUGGUAAUGCAGGAGGCGGAGCUUCACCUCCUCUGUUGUAACAGUGCUGGACUUUGGCUUCUGAGGGUGCAGCUCAGGUGGCAUGUUGAACAUGAAGAGUGAGCUUCCAGACAGUCAGAAAGAUGGCUUAUACUACAUAUCAUUUAUUAUCUCUCGUUAACUUUUAACAUACUCUAAGGAUAUUAUUAAGAGCCAGUGUUUAUACAUUAUUUUUAUCAUACAUUUUCAGCUAUACUAUUUACAACAGGUCAACCUGUUUUUCACAAGUUAACAAAAAAGCUAUUGC